CACGUAGGUGGCGAGCGUUGUUCGGAUUUAUUGGGCGUAAAGGGCGCGUAGGCGGAGGCUCAAGCUUGGUGUAAAAUACCCCGGCUCAACUGGGGAGAUGCGCUGAGAACUGAGCCACUAGAGUCCAGGAGGGGGAGCCGGAAUUCCAGGUGUAGGGGUGAAAUCUGUAGAUAUCUGGAAGAACACCGGUGGCGAAGGCGGGCUCCUGGCCAUGGACUGACGCUGAGGCGCGAAAGUGUGGGGAGCGAAC
rnacentral:rRNA from 1 species